rnacentral:rRNA from 1 species
GGUUAAGUCCCGCAACGAGCGCAACCCUUGUCAUUAGUUGCUACAUUCAGUUGGGCACUCGUAAUGAGACUGCCGGUGACAAGCCGGAGGAAGUGGGAUGACGUCAAGUCCUCAUGGCCCUUAUAGGUGGGGCUACACACGUCAUACAAUGGCUGGUACAAAGGGUUGCCAACCCGCGAGGGGGAGCCAAUCCCAUAAAGCCAGUCGUAGUUCGGAUCGUAGUCUGCAACUCGACUACGUGAAGUCGGAAUCGCUAGUAAUCGUGGAUCAGAAUGUCACGGUGAAUACGUUCCCGGGUCUU